rnacentral:rRNA from 1 species
UACGUAGGGUGCGAGCGUUGCCCGGAUUUAUUGGGCGUAAAGGGCGCGUAGGCGGCCACGCACGUCCGUUGUGAAAUCGCUCGGCUCAACUGGGCGGGGUCAGCGGAUACGGCGUGGCUGGAGCAAGCUAGGGGGCAAUGGAAUUCCCGGUGUAGUGGUGGAAUGCGUAGAUAUCGGGAGGAACACCAGUGGCGAAGGCGGUUGCCUGGAGCUUUGCUGACGCUGAUGCGCGAAAGCGUGGGGAGCGAGUCCGG